GCUGGUGUAGCACAGGGGUAGUGCAGCUGAUUCGUAAUCAGCAGGCCAUGAGUUCAAAUCUCAUCACCAGCUCCA
rnacentral:tRNA from 1 species